ACACAUAUCACACCAGAAAACAUAACCUCAAAGCUCACAUCUCUACAAUUAUCUUCCCAGUAGCAUGACCGUCAAUGCUCUUUGCCCAAGCCGCCUCCGCAUCGCAAAGAGGAAACCUAGAAUCGACUACCGUCUUGAGCUUCCCCUCCUUCACCAGUUCAACCAGAAACCCCAAAUCCUCCUCUUUGGGUAUCAGUAGCAGCGGAACCGGUUG
rnacentral:misc_RNA from 1 species